UACGGAGGGGGCUAGCGUUGUUCGGAAUUACUGGGCGUAAAGCGCACGUAGGCGGACUGUUAAGUCGGGGGUGAAAUCCUGGGGCUCAACCUCAGAAUUGCCUCCGAUACUGGCAGUCUCGAGUGCGGGAGAGGUGAGUGGAAUUCCCAGUGUAGAGGUGAAAUUCGUAGAUAUUGGGAAGAACACCAGUGGCGAAGGCGGCUCACUGGCCCGUAACUGACGCUGAGAAGCGAAAGCAUGGGGAGCGAACAGG
rnacentral:rRNA from 1 species